GGGAAGGCCGAGCAUCCAGAGGCCAGUGGAAAAACCAUCUUGCCACGGAGUCUGUUUCCUCCUGAACUGGAAACGGAUUUCAGCAUGGCGAGCAAGGGGGGUGUCUCAACCCUGUCUGUCAUGGCUCUUUCAGCCCUGCCAUUUGGGCCCCACAUUCUUGUUCCACACCAGGAAGAAUGAGAACUGGCAGCCCUGGCCUGAAGAUGAGGCUUCACUGGGACCCCCCGCUUUCCACCCAGGAGCCCAUCUGCCCCCUGCCACCAUUAACCUGCUCUCCACGGUGCCCACGGUGCCCAGACUGUUUGUGCUGAAGGCUGCCUGCAGGCCCACACUGACCUGCCCUUAGUGUCCCUCAGCCUCCCUCCCAUGCUUGUCAGCGCCCAAAGUCUGAAGGGGGGCCAGGGCAGCAGAGGCUGGUGUGUCAGUGCUGCCCCAAGGGUGAGUACACCCAGGCGGGCUGUGACAGUGCCUGGGCUCAGCCUCAACUUUGCCCUGAAAUCAGAGCAGGCACUGGGAGCAGGGAGAGGCCAGGCAGCGGGGGCAGGGGCUUCCUGGACCUCCGAGAGUGCAGAGAUGCCUGGGUCUGCAGCCACAGCUGGGCCCCCACCCUGUCAACUCAGAAGUGGGUGGAGCUUCCACCUGUUCCCAGCUCCCACCAGCUCCACAGAGCGCACAGCCCCGGCUACACCUCCCCGACGGCAGCCAGCAUCAUGGCAGCCCAUUCCAGACAGGCCGCCGCUGCUAUCACCUUCACCGUUGGGUGAUCCAGUCUGGUUACAUGCUGGCCUCUCCCUCCCCCUGCCUUCGACACAAUCAAGGGAACAGAUCAUGGAAAAAAUGCAGAAGGAGCCUGAGUGGACACUGGACGUGUGGGUUUGAGUCUAAUUUUUGAGCAGAUGAAGAAAGGCCCCUCCUUUUCUUUGAAAAUUGAAGCUGGAAUAACACAGAGUAUCCAACAGCAGAUCCGUGUGGAGGGCCAGCUGUGAGCAAAUUUCAGUGUGGACACAGCACAGUGCAGGCACAGCCCUAAAGGAGGGUACCACGCAGCGGGGGUGAAUGGGGGGCCCCGGAGCACAAAGCGGAGGGUGGUUUUGGGAGGCUGGAGUUGCUGUUUUGUGUGCACGCACCCCCUUCCCCCACUCCCUGUGUCUUCCACCUCAGACUGUCCCCCACUCCCUUCCCUGGGUGACCCUCAGAGCUGCUCAUCCUGGGGAGCAGGUAAAGUCAGCACCUUGGAUAGCUCUGUCACACAGAGGAGGCCAGGCCUUGAGCAAGGCCCCCUGGCUUCAGCUCCUAACAGCUUCCACUCCUACAAGCGUGCAGCUUCGGGUCAGAGCCCCGCGACCCCACAGCCCACCCAGAAGACGUCCUCGUGGCACGGCUGUCCCAUUGCACUUUGCCAAGUGUUGGCUGGAAGGUGGUGGGAGAGGAGUGACAGUUUGAUGAAGAAUGAAUGAAUUAAUUAAUUAAGGCACAGGGUAAUAGAGGCUGGCCAGGCCCGGUCCCCGUUCCUUAUUUCCUAAUGCAGAUAAAUUCCAGUAAUUUCUGUGGGGUGAGAAAUGGGCAUCAGAAAUAAUGGUUUUACUAUCAAAAAUUGAAACAUAGUGCCUGUGUGUAUCUGAAACAAUACUCGUUGUUCAGAUGUCUCUGGGGCAAGAACAGCUCGAUGCCGAGGGAGGAGGCUUUUUCGAUUCCCGCACUGCGAGGUACUCAGCAGCGAUGAAGCCCCCAGGGCUGGGCCACAGCUGUGCCAUCACACCCCCGGCCCCGGGGCUGACCCUUUGCUGACGUCAGCUCACCAGUGCCAGCUCAGCUUCCCUGCAAUGCCCUUGAUAUUUACAAGGUAGAUGCUAGAAGCCCGGGAUGCUUUGCUGUUGGGAGGGAAACGCCUGCCAGACGGAGUAAACCAGCUGCUCCGGAAUUCUCACCAGCACUGGGAGGGUUGGUGUUGCUGCUCAGCACGGGGGCUCAGAAGCCCUCCCCACGCCCCCAUUAUCCUCAGCUUCCCCAGGCUCCAUCCAGCAGGAGGGAGCAGACGGUGGGCCCUGCCUCCUGGCCUUGAGACCAGAAGACGGCCCAGGGUUUGAAGCAGGUGAAAGUCUGAGCUACUUCUGCAAGUGCAGCCUUUGUUCCAAGGAAGCAGGGCUGCCCCGCACCCCGGUGUGCAGGGGGGCAGCUGGCUUUUCCCGUCUGCAGAGCUCCGUCUCCCCAGGAGGGGCGUCCUGUCUCGGGCCAGCAUGACCGCCGUCUCCCUGCUGCUGAAGGGGAGGGCCCCCUUUCUGUGGGCCUUGGCCUCUGUCUGUCAAAUGACGGUAAGACGCAAUCGGGGUGCAUGAGCUAUGGUCCAGAGAAUGGCAUGGGAGGGAGCUGGCUCACCUGCCCCCCAGGCUGGCUUAGGGUCAUGGUUCACCCGUCCACUCUGCACCCUGUGAAUGAUUCAAGUCAAGGCCGUGCCUUCAAAGAGCUCACGGCCUCAUGAAAUGUGACCCACAGAGGCACGUGCAGGUUGCUAUGGAAACACACACAGGCUAUUCGGGGUGGGGGAUGGGCCCGGAGGGUCUCGCCGGGGAUGAAGUGUUGAAAGAUGAAUGAGUUUUCCUCUCAGAGCCGGGGAGGUGGCGGUGCGGUGGGAGGCGUGUGCUCCGGAAGCUGGAGGAGACCCCACACUCCAGAUGCAUCAACCUGCCGCCCCGCAAAGCUCGUUUAUUUAGAAACGUCUCGGCAAAGCCAACCGUGGGAUGGAAGCCUUUCCCUCUUCUCCCUGAUCUGGAUGUGCAGAGGCGAAGCCACUACCGUGACUGGCUGCUGAUGCUCCCUCCGGACGCACCCGUCCCUGGUGCAGCUCCGAGCUGGAGGGGCCUGGGUGCCCCCGGCUGUCACCCCAGACCAAGGGCCAAAGAACUGAGCUCCCCAGAUGAGCCAAAUGGGGGCUCCCUCUGUCCCCACCCCCCAAGGAGGGAUGGCGGGGGAACCCAGGUCCUCGGCCCCGGUGGUCGCCCGGGGGCUCUGCGGUGGGUCCACCAGCUCCCCUGCUGUGUCUACACCCAGAGCCUUUAUUUCUCCCAGGCAAAGCCACUCGCCAGCCCACCCAGGUCGGGGAGGUCCACGGCGAGGGGCUUUCCCCUGGUGGAGCUCCUCAGCGGCCCUUCUACCAGAGUGGCUGGGGGCAGAGCUGUGCCCCUGGCAUCCCCAGGUUGAGGUGUCCUCAGAGCAGGCGCCUGACAGCCUGUAGACCGUGACCCUGGGGGCUGCACGGAGAGGGGUCUCCCAGAGGCCUUGGCACCGAGCCCAGGCAGGGGCACCCUGGAUGUGAGCUGCUGAUGCACCUGCCACAGGCACUUUGUUUGCUUGGCCUCUGAACUGUGAGUCAAGGGUGAAAACAGGAACCUCUCUUCCAGGGAAACUGUCCUGAGGGGUCCAGGCUGUGUGGCCUCUGCCCAGACUGCUGACCCAAGCUGGUGCCGACGAGCCUGCAAAGGCCAGCAGCUCCCAUGCAGGCCCUUGUGUACUUUCAGGGUGGGGAACCGCACCUCAUACCUCCGCUCCUGGGCUCCCCCCGACCUCAACACCCCCACUCUGGUGUGGGAAAGCAGUGAGGAGGGAGGGGCAUCCCCGGGCACCCCCGGCUUCCUCUGCAGCAGGGACUGGGCAGCCGUCAUGGGAAGUUCCCUUUGUCUGGCUGCUUUGAACUCUUUUCCAAGGAAAACCUAUUCGUGUUUUACCCACGGAAUUAAAAAAUCAUUAAAAGAAAA